rnacentral:lncRNA from 1 species
UGAUUUAAUUUUCUCUGUAUUAGAGUGUUUGUCAGUGGAACUGUCCUACUCAUUGUAGGUCUAUCUAGCACUCUGAUAACAAAUUUAUGCGGCUGACUUUGCAAUUUUACAGAUCCUACAGCUUUAAUGAACUUCAAGUGGGUGGAUUAUUUCUAUUUUCCUCUUCCUAUAUAAUCUAAACAUUCUUUGAUGUUUUUGGUUAUUCCAUAGCUGAGAACUUCAUUUAGGCGAGCGAAUCUGACGGUCAACUGCCUAACUCUUUUCUUGAUAUAGUCUAGUUCAACCAGAAGUUCCAAUAUUUGAUUUUCUUUCUUUGCUGAGAAUUUGGUGAGGACUUCUUCUUCAGCAAAAAUGACAGCUGUUUCUUUUUCAACGAACUCUAUCUUGGAAGGAAGAAUGACAUUUACUUCUUGAUCAGCUUGCAGAUCUCUUUUAAGUAUUUUACAUUCUGAACACAUAUUGAUGGUUCCAACUACAUCUGUAUUUAGUAGGUUCUAACCUGCAGGCAACAGUUGUGAUGUAUUAGACUGAAGAUGGACAGUUAGAGAAGUUUCUCGGUUAUCAAUGGUUAUGUCUUCAUCGUCUGAAUCUGAUUUUCUUUCAUCUUCUUCACUCCAAGUAAUAUUCAUGGCCUUCUUUACAUGAAACUUUUUUAGUGCAUUAGCACACUCGAAUGCUAUAUGUCCAUGUCCUUCACAUUCUAAGCAUUUGAUACAAGUUUAAGUUCCUUCCAUAGAUGCAGUAGGCUUUUACCUUGCAUUGUCAAAGAGUUUCUUUUUUUGUAGUCGUUGAGGUCUUGCGCUUUUUCAUUUUCGAUUGUCCAUUCGGAAUUUCCCAAAUUGUUUAGGGAACAUGGCCAUCUGCUCAUCAUUUUCAUGUUCAUGAUCUUCUUCAUCUAUCUCAACCUCCUUGACUUUAAGAGCUAUUCCAAAUCCAUUUUUCCUUCUUC